UACGGGGGGGGCAAGCGUUGUUCGGAAUUACUGGGCGUAAAGGGCUCGUAGGGGGCCAACUAAGUCAGACGUGAAAUCCCUCGGCUUAACCGGGGAACUGCGUCUGAUACUGGAUGGCUUGAGAUUGGGAGAGGGAUGCGGAAUUCCAGGUGUAGCGGCGAAAUGCGUAGAUAUCUGGAGGAACACCGGUGGCGAAGGCGGCAUCCUGGACCGACACUGACGCUGAGGAGCGAAAGCCAGGGGAGCAAACGGG
rnacentral:rRNA from 1 species